CAAGUGGUGGAGCAUGUGGUUUAAUUCGAUGAUACGCGAGGAACCUUACCUAGGCUAGAAUGCGCGUGACCGGCUCAGAGAUGAGCCUUUCCUUCGGGACACAAAGCAAGGUGCUGCAUGGCCGUCGUCAGCUCGUGCCGUGAGGUGUUGGGUUAAGUCCCGCAACGAGCGCAACCCCUAUGUUUAGUUGCCAGCAUGUAAUGAUGGGGACUCUAGACAGACUGCCUGCGCAAGCAGUGAGGAAGGCGGGGACGACGUCAGGUCAUCAUGGCCCUUACGCCUAGGGCGACACACGUGCUACAAUGGACGGUACAGCGGGUAGCUACUGGGCGACCAGAUGCCAAUCUCGAAAAGCCGUUCUUAGUUCGGAUCGGAGUCUGCAACUCGACUCCGUGAAGCUGGAAUCACUAGUAAUCGCGCAUCAGCCAUGGCGCGGUGAAUACGUUCCCGGGCCUUGUACACACC
rnacentral:rRNA from 1 species